GAUCAACGCUGGCGGCGUGCAUGAGACAUGCAAGUCGAACGGACGACUCGGGCUUGCUCGAGUCGUUAGUGGCGGACGGCUGAGUAACGCGUGGGUGACCUGCCCCGAAGUGGGGAAUAACUGCCCGAAAGGGUGGCUAAUACCGCAUGUGGUGGUGCCUUCACUGGCAUCAGUAAAGCCGCAAGGCGCUUCGGGAGGGGCCUGCGUCCUAUUAGCUCGUUGGUGGGGUAACGGCUCAACAAGGCGACGAUCGGGAGGUGGUCUGAGAGGACGAUCACCCGGACUGGGACUGAGACACGGACCAGACUCCUACGGGAGGCAGCAGUCGGGAAUUUUGCGUAAUGGGCGAAAGCCUGACGCAGCAACGCCGCGUGAGGGAUGAAGGCCUUCGGGUUGUAAACCUCUUUUCUCAGGGACGAUGAUGACGGUACCUGAGGAAGAAGCCACGGCUAACUACGUGCCAGCCGCCGCGGUAAGAC
rnacentral:rRNA from 1 species